rnacentral:lncRNA from 1 species
AGCACCUGCGGCAUAUGGAAGUUUCCAGGCUAGGGGUCAAAUUGGAGCUGUAACUGUCGGCCUUUACCACAGCCACGGCAACGUGGGGUCUGGGCUGCAUCUACAACCUACACCACAGCUCACAUCAACGCUGGCCCCUUAACCCGCUGCGAGGCCAGGGAUAGAACCUGCAUCCUCACGGAUACUCGUGGGGCUCGUUUCUGCUAAGCCACAGUGGGAACGCCUCUUAUGCGUGACUUUUGGCCAAAGGGACCGGCUCUACCAAAAACAGGGACUGAAGCAUACCCAGGUGACUAUCUGGCUCACCUGAUUCUCUUCCCAGUGGGGCUUUGAAACAUGGGGACAAACUUUAGACACAGAGAAUGGAGCCAUUGCCUCUGUCGGGAUGGGAGAAAUUCACAGAUGUCUUGACAGCAGCUACCUCGCGACACUGAGUGGUAGCGGACCACUGGAAAAACUCUGGGUAAGAAAGACUAUCAAAGGAGCAUCAGGUCCAGAUUGCAAAUUGCUUUAGCAGCUAAAACAGGCAGAAAGAUAGAGCAACUCACGCUAAUCCAGGGGGUUUAUGCUUCGGGCUGGCUGCCUCUGACGCCCACCCUUGACCCAGCCCAUUCAUCAGUAUUUUGAUAAGCAGAUUCCCCUGCAGAGCUUCUUAAUCUGGGUUCCCAGAGGAGUCUUGCAGAGAUUAAUGAGAGCCCUGCCGCUGCCUGCCAGCUCUUGAGGGUGGGGCAGUUAAAUCACAAAAGGGAAGGGACUGGUCGCGGAUGCCCAAACUCUCCCAUCACUGGACCUGACGCCUCUAGGGGUCAACUCAGUAUCUUUUCAACUUAAAUACCUGGAUCUGUUUUUAUUUUUAUUUUUAAUCCACUUUCUCCUUGGUAUCUAGGGAAAUUAAAGCCCUGGCUCACAUCUUCCUUAAGGCCAGCUUUUAGCCAGAGCCAUGACAGCAUCUGGAGCUCAACAAAGAUUAGGGGCAGAGGCAGGCAGGAAUGCCAGGGACAGAGAGGAAAUCCAGUGCUACCAAGGGCACCACCAAUGUGCUGUACCCGCCAUGCAGCCCUCCCACCAAAUACCCUCUGGCUACAGUCCCCUGACAGUGGUGGGAGGGGAAGCUGGGGCUGCAACCCCAAAGCCUGAGCCCUCACAGAAGUGCAGCCCCUAAGACAAAAAAAAAAAAAAAAGGGAGUUCCCAUCGUGGGGCAGUGGUUAACGAAUCCGACUAGGAACCGUGAGGUUGCGGGUUUGGUCCUUGCCCUUGCUCAGUGGGUUAACGAUCCGGCGUUGCCAUGAGCUGUGGUGUAGGUUGCAGACGCGGCUCAGAUCCCGCGCUGCUGUGGCUCUGGCGUAGGCCGGUGGCUACAGCUCCGAUUCCACCCCUAGCCUGGGAACUUCCAUAUGCCACGGGAGUGGCCCAAGAAAUAGCAAAAAAAGACAAAAAAAAAAAAAGAAGGCUGGUCUCUGCUCUUGCAAUGCCAGAUCCUCAACCCACAGUGCCAAGCCAGGGGUGGAACCCGCAUCUCAGCAUUCCCAAGAGGCUGCCGAUCCCACUGCACCACAGCGGGAACUCUGCAGGCUGGGUUCCCUGUGAGACGUGAUCUGGGGAAAUUUUCUGGGCUGUCCUCUGGAGAGAUGGGACUUAUUUUGAAGUAAGAUGUGAUGAGGGAACCCUAGAUUUGAGUUCAGUUUGUGAAUUAUUGGGGCGGGGGGGGGGGUAAAAUCAGGCUUACCGAGCUUGUAGGACUUUGCAUGUGCUGGAAGAAAAAGUCUUACAAAUUCCAAGUGACAGGUAUGGCAAGAAGGAGGAGGACGAGCCGGGACAGCAGCUUCAACUCUGGCUGCUCCCGUGCUGACAUGUGUCCACUGAACGCAGCCUCAGGACUUGGGGGAAAAAGACCGUCACGCGGAGCUCCGAGCUCACGAGCAGGUCUAAAGGGACCGGCAAGUCAACUAACAAAGGCGUCGGGGGUGGGAACCCCCCUGGGUCUUCCCUCGCCCCUCCUGUGACCACGGCUGGCAUCUCAGGCCCGCUGUCCGUGAACAGACAGGGAAAUAGCUAACUACCCAGCUGAGUCCACGUUCAGCCCCAGAGGAAGGUCGACGGCUGACUGUCUAGGAGUCUGCGGUCUCACUGACACCAGCAGCUCUCAGAGUGUGGAGCACAGCUGCCCUCCGUCUAUGGCUGUGGACUGGGGGGGGGGACAAACAUGUGCUGGGAGGGGGGCCGUCCCAGCCCCUCCGGCCAGGCUCCUCAGAGGCUGGCGCAUCACCCAGCCCCCAGGUGGGGGCAUCAUGGAGGAGACCACGGCUGCCCCUGCAUCAGCUGUCCUGGUUCAGCAGACCUUCCUUCUUUAGCCAGACCUGGAAGCCAAAGAGGUCAGGCCAACCUGCAGCUCGGGGUCCAGCCCAGACGGGCGGCUACCUGGCCAGCCUCCUGGCCUCUGUAUGCGGCGCAGCCUGCUCUGGAUGGUAGGCUCCCUGCCCAGGAUUUGCAGUGAACUUGGCUGCUCCCUGCGGGAUUUACUGGGUCUGGACCUGCCCGCGGUAGAAGGUCAAGUGUCAGUUCAACGAGGGAGCCCCUGUCCCCCUUCGUCUU